UAAAAGUUUUUACUUGGANGCUGGCGNCGUNUNUAAUACAUGCAAGUNCGAGCGAACUGNUUAGAAGCUUGCUUCUAUGACGUUAGCGGCGGACGGGUGAGUAACACGUGGGCAACCUGCCUGUAAGACUGGGAUAACUUCGGGAAACCGAAGCUAAUACCGGAUAGGAUCUUCUCCUUCAUGGGAGAUGAUUGAAAGAUGGUUUCGGCUAUCACUUACAGAUGGGCCCGCGGUGCAUUAGCUAGUUGGUGAGGUAACGGCUCACCAAGGCAACGAUGCAUAGCCGACCUGAGAGGGUGAUCGGCCACACUGGGACUGAGACACGGCCCAGACUCCUACGGGAGGCAGCAGUAGGGAAUCUUCCGCAAUGGACGAAAGUCUGACGGAGCAACGCCGCGUGAGUGAUGAAGGCUUUCGGGUCGUAAAACUCUGUUGUUAGGGAAGAACAAGUACGAGAGUAACUGCUCGUACCUUGACGGUACCUAACCAGAAAGCCACGGCUAACUACGUGCCAACAGCCGCGGUAAUACGUANGUGGCAAGCGUUNUCCNGAAAUAUUGGGCGUAAAGCGCGCGCNGGCGGNUUCUUAAAUNUUAUGUGAAAACCCCCGCC
rnacentral:rRNA from 2 species